rnacentral:rRNA from 1 species
UACGUAGGGUGCGAGCGUUAAUCGGAAUUACUGGGCGUAAAGCGUGCGCAGGCGGUCGUGUAAGACAGAUGUGAAAUCCCCGGGCUCAACCUGGGAACUGCAUUUGUGACUGCACGGCUGGAGUGCGGCAGAGGGGGAUGGAAUUCCGCGUGUAGCAGUGAAAUGCGUAGAUAUGCGGAGGAACACCGAUGGCGAAGGCAAUCCCCUGGGCCUGUACUGACGCUCAUGCACGAAAGCGUGGGGAGCAAACAGG